UCGAAACCUGCGUAGCAGAACAACCCGCGAACAUGUUAAUUUCAUGAAUGGGGGAGGCAUGUUGGCUCGCCAACUCCCUCCCCUAAGUGUCACAGAGCUUUCCUUUCUGAUUGCUGUGUGGCACAACAACCAAACCCCGGCGCGUUAAGCGUCAAGGAAUAAGAUCAUGUGUUUGUCCAUCCAUGACUGGGUUUCCGGUUUAUGGGUGUGGCAUCAAUGUAAGUCUUAAAACGA
rnacentral:misc_RNA from 1 species